AAUAAUCAAAUAGUGUUAUUCUUGACUGGCAGUCAAGAGGUCGUGGGUUCGAAUCCCAUCUU
rnacentral:tRNA from 1 species